AUCUUGCUCUUUUUGUUCUUAAUUGAUUUUCACAAGAAAAUCAAUUACUCAUCAAGUAGAAUUCUUGCACAUGACAUAAUGUUUAUGACUGUGCCCUCUACCCGCCCUAGUAGUUCACUGCACGUGUCACAUGCCUCUUCCCACAGCUGUGGCUCAGUUCAGAUAGCUCACCACCACAGAAACGCUGCAGUUACAAGGAGCUGAUGAUGAGCUUUUGCGGAUCCACUCCUCUGCACCUGUACCAUCAGUUUUCUCCAGGCUCAGUCACUCUCAAUGCAGGAGCAGCCAGGAACAAGCAACACGCCCUGGGAAAGCUCUGGCCAGAACAGGCGCCCACUGUGUACGCUCAGCAAUGCAGACCUGCGUGUAAAUCCUUAGAGAAGCUUGUCUGCUCCCGGUGGAAGGGACUUUUUAACAGUCCCUUUGCUCACAAAGGGAAGAGGUUUUUCUUGCAGGAAGCCGCUUGGAGGGGGCUCGCUCUUCCCGUUGUACUUCUGUCUCUGCCCACACUGGACCGGGUCCUCAUCCACCUCUUGAUUAUAGCAUUUAAGGCACAAGCGCACGGGACUCCCCAUGCCUUCUGCUUUUUCGGUGGACUCGAGACUCUGGCGGUGAACUCCAGGCUCGCUGGAGGAGAGGGAAAAUACAGCUUCCUUCUUCCUUCCGAGGGUACUUUGGUUCCACGCAGUCUCCCCACCUCCAGCGCCCAGCACACCGUGGCUAAUUCCCCAAGGUGUAGCGGCAGCGCCCUGACAGCGCCACCGUGUGGUUCAGAAGGAACUGUUGCCGCAGGCUUCCUGGGUGACCCUUUGCAGGGGAAGAAGAGAAACCAGAACCCCCUGGAAGGCAUCUAACAACUCAGUUUUAAGCCUGUUAAAACCACAGGCCAAAUUUCUUAUUCCUACGGACUUGUGCAGUGACUAAAGCUCUCUUACACUCAACACAUGAAGCACGGAAGACCUUUCUUUAGUUCACUGAGGUCAUGAAGCAGUGCUAUUGCCUAGUGUACUCCCUGCUCCUU
rnacentral:lncRNA from 1 species